UACGUAGGGUGCGAGCGUUGUCCGGAAUUACUGGGCGUAAAGAGCUCGUAGGUGGUUUGUCGCGUUGUUCGUGAAAACUCACAGCUCAACUGUGGGCGUGCGGGCGAUACGGGCAGACUGGAGUACUGCAGGGGAGACUGGAAUUCCUGGUGUAGCGGUGAAAUGCGCAGAUAUCAGGAGGAACACCGGUGGCGAAGGCGGGUCUCUGGGCCGUAACUGACGCUGAGGAGCGAAAGCAUGGGGAGCGAACAGG
rnacentral:rRNA from 1 species